rnacentral:rRNA from 1 species
CCUACGGGAGGCUGCAGUGGGGAAUAUUGCACAAUGGGGGAAACCCUGAUGCAGCGACGCCGCGUGAAGGAUGACGGCCCUACGGGUUGUAAACUUCUUUUGUCAGGGAGCAAUUGGGUCCACGCGUGGGCUUAGCGAGAGUACCUGAAGAAAAAGCAUCGGCUAACUCCGUGCCAGCAGCCGCGGUAAUACGGAGGAUGCGAGCGUUAUCCGGAUUUAUUGGGUUUAAAGGGUGCGUAGGCGGAAUAUCAAGUCAGCGGUAAAAAUUCGGGGCUCAACCCCGUCGUGCCGUUGAAACUGAUGUUCUUGAGUGGGCGAGAAGUAUGCGGAAUGCGUGGUGUAGCGGUGAAAUGCAUAGAUAUCACGCAGAACUCCGAUUGCGAAGGCAGCAUACCGGCGCCCAACUGACGCUGAAGCACGAAAGCGUGGGUAUCGAACAGGAUUAGAUACCCUUGUAGUC